UGAAAAGUCAGGAGCUGCUGCCCUGGCAGCCAAGCCUUGCAAGGCUUCCUGAUGGCUGAUGUGACUUAGAUGGUAAAUCCAGCUGAAUUCUCGUCUCUCUCAUGCAACUGUCUCCUGUGCUGUCCGCCAAGGUCUUCCUUCCUGCCCUGCCGCUGUGAGACAGCUCCGUAACAGCAUUGCCUGCUGCCAGCUCUGGCCUGAAGAGAAGAGCCCUCACCGAACUUCCAAGUGUGCUCGAUGGAAAGCCUUGGGCAGUGGAUGCUGUGUGGAUCCUGUAUGCAAUGCUGGCUGCUGGUGUGUGUGUGGAGCAAGGGGUUCUGGUCUUGUACAGUACAUUUCUGACAUCUCCUGGGCCAUAUCCUUGAAAUCCAGCCCCAUAUUCUUCCUGGCAUGUGUUGCCUGCAUUUGAAGCUCUUUGGAGAUGCAUCCCCCCUCUUUCCUGUCAUGACCAAUAUGCCUAUAACUUAUUGUGAUUUAUUCCUUGUCAUUGGCUUAGUCUAUUUUCUGUUUCUACCCGAGCUUGGAACUUAUAAAGACGUGAGUUUUA